rnacentral:rRNA from 1 species
AAGGCGGGAAGUGACGGAACCCAGUGGAGCUUGCCGGGAAGCUCCGUGCCAGCAGCCGCGGUAAUACGGAGGGGGUUAGCGUUGUUCGGAAUUACUGGGCGUAAAGCGCGCGUAGGCGGAUCAGAAAGUUGGGGGUGAAAUCCCAGGGCUCAACCCUGGAACUGCCUCCAAAACUCCUGGUCUUGAGUUCGAGAGAGGUGAGUGGAAUUCCAAGUGUAGAGGUGAAAUUCGUAGAUAUUUGGAGGAACACCAGUGGCGAAGGCGGCUCACUGGCUCGAUACUGACGCUGAGGUGCGAAAGUGUGGGGAGCAAACAGGAUUAGAUACCCUGGUAGUCCACACCGUAAACGAUGAAUGCCAGUCGUCGGGUAGUAUACUGCUCGGUGACACACCUAACGGAUUAAGCAUUCCGCCUGGGGAGUACGGUCGCAAGAUUAAAACUCAAAGGAAUUGACGGA